UUGAAGUUUGUAGAAUUUAUGUAUUGGUUUAUUCAAAAUUUUCAAAAAAAUAUUCAUAACUCAAAAAUUCAAUUUGUUAAAAUGAGACAAAUUUUAUCAAUUGCUGCCGGUGUGGUCUUGGGAUUCAUUAUAUUAGAUUUCAUUGCCAAAAAACGUUAAAAUGAUAUUGCACUCAUAAAUGGAAACAAAACUGAAAAUUUUAACAAAACAAAAAUUUACUUUUCAAAACAUAAUUGGUUAUGGAAUAUCCGGGAAUUGUCUUAUUUAUUGGUGUGGCAGUUGUUAUAAGAACUUUGGUUGUUUUCUUUGGACCACCUCCAGCAGCAGAGGUAUAGGUAUUUUUAAGAAAUCCGAAUAAAUCAAAAUUCAAAAAGAAACAUGACAACAGAUCAACUGAUUAUGAGCAGCAGCCUUAUGUUUGGUGUGGUUUUUAUGACUGGCAUUUUUAUUUGGGAUUGUUAUCAAAAUGAAGCCUAAUUUUGAAAUUUUAAAUUGCAUGAAAAUUUGUAUAAUGGAUUAAUGAUAUUUUAAUAAAAAAAAUCUUUUUUAAAA